UUCUCCCCGCUGCUCCUUACCUUCGACUUCACACCAAGAAAAACUCUUCGUGGAGGUGAAAUUGCUUCAGAAGCAGACUAUUUAUUCAGGGAUAUGCAGGAGUUCAGGAGGUGGAGCAGGAGGAGGAGGUUCCCUGGAGGCUCUAGCUGGAAAUGGCGAGGAUGGCCGAGGUGUCUUUGGCCUUGUCAAAAAAGAUGGUGGCCUCAUUGGAUGUUUUGAGCUUGGCG